UCAGGAUGAACGCUGGCGGCGUGCUUAACACAUGCAAGUCGAACGAUGAUGCCCACUUGUGGGUGGAUUAGUGGCGAACGGGUGAGUAACACGUGAGUAACCUGCCCUUGACUCUGGGAUAAGCCUGGGAAACUGGGUCUAAUACCGGAUAUGACCGUCNAUCGCAUGGUGGUUGGUGGAAAGCUUUUGUGGUUUUGGAUGGACUCGCGGCCUAUCAGCUUGUUGGUGGGGUAAUGGCCUACCAAGGCGACGACGGGUAGCCGGCCUGAGAGGGUGACCGGCCACACUGGGACUGAGACACGGCCCAGACUCCUACGGGAGGCAGCAGUGGGGAAUAUUGCACAAUGGGCGCAAGCCUGAUGCAGCGACGCCGCGUGAGGGAUGACGGCCUUCGGGUUGUAAACCUCUUUCAGUAGGGAAGAAGCGUAAGUGACGGUACCUGCAGAA
rnacentral:rRNA from 1 species